rnacentral:misc_RNA from 1 species
AGGUCUUUAUCUGUUACAAAUUUACCUCCAACUCCACCUCAAGUGCUACAUAUUGCAUCAAUGAUGAAUAGAAAUUUGGGACAACUACCAGUUUCUAACAACUCAUAUUCCCCAGAUGUUUCUUUUCAAAUAUUGCCCUCUCCAUUGCUUCAAAAGACAAGCAGUAGUAGUUGCUCACUUAACUCAUCCCAACAUCAUGAAAAGUCAUCACAGCUGAGAGAAGAUGUCAACAAGAAAUGAAAAUUGUACAAGAAAAUCACACUGCAAUACUUAAUAGUCUAUUAAGACACAACAGCAUCAACUAUCAGGCUUCACAGUUGCCUGAAGACGUCACUCUUUUGUUACCUUUAAAGUGUUUAAAAGCUGUGGAAGAGUUUGAGGAUAAGCUGAAAAAUCCUGAUAUUUUUAAAACAGUGGUUGUAUGGUUAAGUGAUCAAGGAGGUCGAAAUCUUGUAGAGGCUACCGGUCGCAUGAUGGCAAAGCUAAUGACAAAUGAGUUAGCCCAAAGUUGUAACCUUUGUGGUCGGAAUGGUAAAAAAGGUCUUAAAGGAUCGUUAUUGUUUCUUAUUCUUACUAAGGCUAUAAAGAGAAAUAUACUGACAUCAAAGUUGAAUGUAAGAGAUAUUGAAAUCAGUCUAUCCAAUUGGCUCAUCGGUUCAGGUGAUCGGGAUGGCAAUCGAGCUAAACGUGCCACAGCCUCCAAAAACAAAAGUAGAGAAGUACACCCAGACAUAAAUGCUUCUGACAAAGAAGAUUAAUAUAUGUUAAAUAUAUCUAUAUAUAAAUAGAAAAGUUCUUAAAAAAAUUCUGACAAAGAAGAUUAAUAUAUAUUAAAUAUAUCUUUAUAUAAAUAGAAAAAUUAGAAGUAUGAAAUUUAUACUUUAUAACAUUUAUGCAGUGUAUUAUUAAAUAAUAACAAUGUGAUUAUGUAAGUCAAUUGCAAGAUAUAUUGCAUAUAUUGGUGUUUCAUUAAAGUUACUUUUAAACAUAUUGCAUGCGGGACACAUAUUAGUAUGUUUUAUAAUAUUUGAUGCUUGAGCACAGGACACAUACUAGUACAUUUUCUGAAAGUUGUUACUUGAAUGCUUGUCCUGUACUAGCAAGGCCGGCGCGAUGGGGGUGUGUGGGGGUUGAUACACACACACACCCCAUCAAUAAUUUUGUUGUUCGUUUAGUCUGCAAAUUUGACCCAUUUUGACUAGUUAGUUGACAAAUGUAGACCCUUUUGACAAGUUAGUCGGUAAAUUUAAACAGUCAGUUGGUAUGUAUCAUUAUGGCAGUCGGUAAAUGUCGUUAUGGCAAAUCUUAAAAAACGAAGACCUUUCUUUUUAUUUAUUUUUUAGUCGGCAAAAGUUGUAAUGGCACCACCCACCUACGUGAUACCUACUCGUGCCGGCCCUGUGUACUAGUAUAGAUUAGUGUAACAACAUGGUUUUUUCUGUAUUUCUUUAUAUUAUCUGUAUUUUAGUGUUUAAAAAAAGCUGCUGCUGCAAAAUGUACCUGCAAACAAUGUGUUAAAUGAUUCGGAUGAAAUAGUUCUACUGGUAAGCCAACAAGCUAAGUCUAAUCUUGCAUUGAAAAAAAUAUUGUUUGGACUUUAGGAUAGCAGGUUGGUUACUAACGUGAUCAAGGAGGUUGUACUCUUGUGGAGAAUACUGGCCGUAAUAGUGCUGUAAUGACAAUAAACACAAAUACAUAUGAAUCGAAGUAAAUAUAACUCCAGAAAAUUUAAACUGUAACGAGGAAUGCACAUCAAUGAUUGAAUGUCCUCACAUUGUGACUUGGCUUUGCGUCACAAGACUGAGAUGACAAACAAGCUAAAUGUGCUAAAGCCUUCAAAAACAAGGCUUCAUCGAGAAGUACCUUUGCACAUAGAAUGAUGAAUAAUAUGAAAUAUAUAAUAUAUUAUAAUA